UGGGGAAUAUUGCACAAUGGGCGCAAGCCUGAUGCAGCCAUGCCGCGUGUAUGAAGAAGGCCUUCGGGUUGUAAAGUACUUUCAGCGGGGAGGAAGGUGUUGUGGUUAAUAACCUCAGCAAUUGACGUUACCCGCAGAAGAAGCACCGGCUACCUCCGUGCCAGCAGCCGCGGUAAUACGGAGGGUGCAAGCGUUAAUAGGAAUUACUGGGCGUAAAGCGCACGCAGGCGGUCUGUCAAGUCGGAUGUGAAAUCCCCGGGCUCAACCUGGGAACUGCAUCCGAAACUGGCAGGCUUGAGUCUUGUAGAGGGGGGUAGAAUUCCAGGUGUAGCGGUGAAAUGCGUAGAGAUCUGGAGGAAUACCGGUGGCGAAGGCGGCCCCCUGGACAAAGACUGACGCUCAGGUGCGAAAGCGUGGGGAGCAAACA
rnacentral:rRNA from 1 species